UGGGGAAUUUUGGACAAUGGGCGAAAGCCUGAUCCAGCAAUGCCGCGUGUGUGAAGAAGGCCUUCGGGUUGUAAAGCACUUUUGUCCGGAAAGAAAUCCUUGGCUCUAAUACAGUCGGGGGAUGACGGUACCGGAAGAAUAAGCACCGGCUAACUACGUGCCAGCAGCCGCGGUAAUACGUAGGGUGCAAGCGUUAAUCGGAAUUACUGGGCGUAAAGCGUGCGCAGGCGGUUUGCUAAGACCGAUGUGAAAUCCCCGGGCUCAACCUGGGAACUGCAUUGGUGACUGGCAGGCUAGAGUAUGGCAGAGGGGGGUAGAAUUCCACGUGUAGCAGUGAAAUGCGUAGGGAUGUGGAGGAAUACCGAUGGCGAAGGCAGCCCCCGUGGGCCAAAUACUGANGCUCAUGCACGAAAGCGUGGGGAGCAAACAGGAUUAGAUACCCUGGUAGUCCACGCCCUAAACGAUGUCAACUAGUUGUUGGGGAUUCAUUUCCUUAGUAACGUAGCUAACGCGUGAAGUUGACCGCCUGGGGAGUACGGUCGCAAGAUUAAAACUCAAAUGAAUUGACGGGGUCAUAGCUGUUUCCU
rnacentral:rRNA from 1 species